AGUUCUGUUUACAAACACAGUGCUACAACAACGUAUUCCAAACUGCCCUGAUGAUAAGAACCACCUAAGACACUGGAUUCAAUGCUAGUUCUCAGGUCUUCACCUGGAGGUGCUGAUUUAGUAGGUUUGGGGUGGAACCCAGGAAUCUAUUUUAAAAGGGACACAAAUGACUAGCAGCCCAAAAGUUUGGCAGACAAUGGCCCUCAAACACAAUUUAUAAACCAUUCCAUUCUGCUUUGCAACUUUUGGAUUUCUUCAUUCUUUGAUUCAUUCGACUUUGUCACGACCGUCUCGGAUCGGGUAGACUCCGACUGGGUCCUUUCCUUGCCCAGUGCCGACGGCGCCAAUUGAACGAGACCAGUUUUCGCAGGAGUGUGGUUUGGAUGGAUGGAUCAUUCCAGAGAUAUCCUCUGAAGUCUUAUGAAAGAUUUCCCACAAAGGCUUAUUGAAGACUCUGAUAUAAUGAGGAGACUGAAGCUGGAAAAGGUUAAGAAACUUGUGCAAGAUCACCAGCAAUAAGCAUCUGACCAGGACUCAGACCCAUGUAGCCAGACUCCAGAGUCUUUUACUACUGUACUGUGCAGCCUGGCUUAUAGGAUCUUAGUUCCCCGACUGGGGAUCGAACCCAGGCUCCCAGCAUUGGAAGCGAGAUUCUCAACCACUGGACCACCAGUGAAUCCCCUGUUGAUCUUAAAAAGUAUGGUAAGUGAAGUUUAUGGUAAGUAUAGCUCCAUAUUUUUAAAUGUUAAAAAGUGUUGUCUGGGGAGACCUGGAGAUCCCUCUGAGACAUUCUAGUGGGUCUGCAGGGUCAAAAGUAUUUUCAUAAUAACACUAAGACAUUACUUGCCUUUCUUAUUCUCCUUCUUUCAUGAGUAUACAGUAGAAUUUUCCAGACGAUGGGCUUCCCUGGUGGCACAGUCCCCAAUGAAGGGGACACAGGUUCGAUCCCUGGUCCGGGAAGAUCCCACAUGCCAUGGAGCAACUAAGCCCAUGUGCCACAACUACUGAGGCUGUGUUCUAGAGCCCUUGAGCCACAACUACUGAGCCCACACACCACAACUACUGAAGCCGGUGCACCUAGAGCCCGUGCUCUGCAACAAGAGAAGCCACCGCAACGAGAAGCCCGCGCACCGCAACCAGAGAAAGCCUGCAUGCAGCAAUGAAGACCCAAUGCUGCCAAAAAUAAAUAAAUAAAAGAAUUUUCCAGAGGGUAGUGACAUGUGAUAUUGCAGCAGAUUGAACGCAGAAGUAGAUGUGAAAAUGCAACCUUUUUUUUUUUUAAAGUCAGACAUUAAAGAGAUUGGCAAAAAAGUAAAGCAAUGCCACUAUUCUCUCUAAAUUUUGUGAGGAGAUAUGUCUACUUAGAAAAAUAUAUUAUUUAUAUUAACAUGAUAUGGACUUAUUUUUUAAUGGGCAAAAAAUAUUUUAAAUUGUUUCAGCUCAGAUUUCUAAUACUAAUGAUAAGUAUUAAUAUAACUCACAUAAACAAAGGUCUUGGGAGUCCACAAUACUAGUUUCCAAGAGUGUGAAGGGACCCUGAGACCAAAAAGGUUGAGGACUGCUGCUGAACUAGAAUAAUAGCAAUGGAGGUAGUACAAAGUGGUUUGAAGGUAGACUCCAUUCCUGGGGGUUUAGAUGUUAGUAGUAAGAGGAAGAAAAGAGUCAAGAAUGGCUUCUGGUUUGGGGCCUAAGCAAAUGUGAUGCCAUGAACUGAAAUGGGGAGAACUGUGUGAGGAGGAGGUUUGGUACCGAAAAUCAAGUUCUACGUCAGAAAUUUAGACGUUUGGACAUUGAAAGAUGAUCUCAUUUAAUACUCCCUCCAAUCCAAUGAGUUAGAUAUUACUGUCUCCAUUUUACAGGUGAAGACAUUAUAAUUCAGAGUUUGCCUAGAACGCAGGAUAGAUCCUGAUCUGAACCAGGUCUGACUCUGAAAUCCUGGCUUAGCUCAGUCGCCCUAAACUAAAUUCACCUGAACUCCCAAACAGGAGGAAAUAAUAAAGGGAUUUAGGUAAAAAGUGACAUUUAAUAUAGGUAACAACCAGCAUGGUACCCUGUGGAGGCUGCAGUUCCCAGGAGUAGCAACGGCAGGUUUUCUGUGGGAUUGCACAGGGUGAGGGGGACCAGGUGGGCAUCAACCAUGUCCACUAGGGUGCCGGCAGAGUUGCCAACCAGAGCCCAGGCCUGCUCCACUCAGGGCAGGAGAAGCCAGUGGGCGGGUUGGGGGAGGAGGAGGAGGAGGCGCUAAGGUAAGUUCUCACAUUUUAAGAGGAAUUUUAAUAUUUUAACAGAGUGCAACUAUAGCAGUGUAAAGCCAGCUGAAAGUGAGCUGUGGUGCUGGGAAGGUGGAUGUUAAAAUAUUUCUCCUCUCAUUCCGGGUUCAGAGAAAUUGUUUUCAAAAGCAGAGACGUGGGCUUCCCUCGUGGUGCAGUGGUUGAGAGUCCGCCUGCAGAUACAGCGGACACAGAUUCGUGCCCCGGUCCGCGAAGAUCCCACGUGCCGCGGAGCCGCUGGGCCCGUGAGCCAUGGCCGCUGAGCCUGCACGUCCGGAGCCUGUGCUCCGCAACGGGAGAGGCCACAACGGUGAGAAGCCCGCGUACCGCAAAAAAAAAAAGCAGAGACGUUGGGUUUCCGUUUUGCUCUGUUUCUUGUCCUGUAAAUAAUCAACUUGCUUCAUUUCUACUCCUCAGAUAAAAUCAACCACCCAACCAACCAACCUAUCACAUAUGGGAAUGUGACUUAUAACAGAUAUUCAUUUUAACAUAAUUUCAACACAAUAAAACAAUACGUGGAAAUACUUAAACUCAAAAUUCAAAUUCCUGCAACUUCAAUCUGAAAAAAAAUUUUGUAUUACUACUAUUAUCUAAACUAGGUGACUAUCAGUAAGAAUUUUAAUAUUACUUACUGUAUAUUAUUAUGAUUGUGCCUUUAAAAAAAGAGUCAAUCUCUUAGAUAUACAUACUACAGUAUUUUCUGGUGAGAUGAUAUUAUAUCUGACAGUUGAUUUCCAAUAAUCUAGUGCAGUGGGGGUGAGGAGACAGUGGGGUUAUAAAUGAAACAAGAUAGACGACAUAUCGAUAGAUGUUGAAUCCAGGUAAUCAAUACAUGGGGACUCAUUAUUCCAUUCUUUCUUUCUACUUUGUGUGUUUGGAAAUUUCCAGAACAAAAGUUUAAGAAAAGAGUUCAAUAUUUAUCCAAUGUUUAGAGAGUGUUGCUGUUCAAAAAAAGGACACAGGAUACAAGACUGUAAAUUGUUUUCUAUAUUUCACUUGCUUUAGGGUCUUUUUUCUUUAAAGGAUUCUGUAAAAUUGUACAUUUCAAGACGAAUAGAAAAAGUAGUGUGUAUUUAUCCAUAAUCUCCUUUAUCGCAGCUUCUGGGUGCCUCCUGUACACUUCCAAUUAUAGCAAUGAGAGUAAAUAAUUCCCCCUAAUUUGGUCUUAAUGUUCAACUGUUGUCACAUUAAUUGCUACCUUUGUGUAGCUACUGCCUAGUAAUACAUCACUAGACAAGACAGACAUUUUAGUGUCUAAAUUCAGAUGUUAACCAUGCAAGUUUUUCAUUUUUCAGUAAUUCACUUCUUUUAGGUGAAAAAUUUUAAAUUCUGUUUUACCUUAGUUCAUUAUUGUAAUCUGGGCAUAUUUUGCCUUAGAGGCGUCUCCAGAACUCACUUUUUACCCAACGAUGUUGAAAAGGUGGUUCCACAAUAUUUUAACAUUUCUAGCUAUAAAUUAUUUUUACACCCUGAAUAAGAUACUCCUGCCACCACCACCCCCUCGCCACACGUGAAGACGCAACUUGAAGACGGCCGUCUGCAAACCAGGAAGAGGGCUCUCCCCAGACACCCAAUCUGCUGGCACUUUGAUCUUGGAUUUCUCAGCCUUCAGAACGGUGAAAAAUAAAUUUUUAUUAUUUAAACCUCCCAGUCUAUGAUA